rnacentral:rRNA from 1 species
UGUGAGUGUGGCGCUCUUUGAUGAGCUCAUGUCCUAUCAGCUUGUUGGUAGGGUAACGGCCUACCAAGGCUUUGACGGGUAGCUGGUCUGAGAGGACGAUCAGCCACACUGGCACUGCGACACGGGCCAGACUCCUACGGGAGGCAGCAGUAAGGAAUAUUGCGCAAUGGGCGAAAGCCUGACGCAGCGACGCCGCGUGGGGGAUGAAGGUCUUCGGAUUGUAAACCCCUUUCGGGAGGGAAGAUGGAGCGAGCAAUCGUUCGGACGGUACCUCCAGAAGCAGCCACGGCCAACUUCGUGCCAGCAGCCGCGGUAAUACGAAGGUGGCAAGCGUUGUUCGGAUUCACUGGGCGUACAGGGUGUGUAGGCGGUUUGGUAAGCCUUCUGUUAAAGCUUCGGGCCCAACCCGGAAAGCGCAGAGGGUACUGCCAGGCUAGAGGGUGGGAGAGGAGCGCGGAAUUCCCGGUGUAGCGGUGAAAUGCGUAGAGAUCGGGAGGAAGGCCGGUGGCGAAGGCGGCGCUCUGGAACAUACCUGACGCUGAGACACGAAAGCGUGGGGAGCAAACAGGAUUAGAU